rnacentral:lncRNA from 1 species
CUUUUUCUCUAACAAUAUUUCAUCGACCACGGUUUAUGUAACAACGUUAAAAACUUAAUAUAAAAAUAUUAUUGGACAGGAUCUAAACGUAAUGGAUCCGGAUCGGUUCAGGUAUAUAGAACCCGAAAAGAUUCAAAAUAUCUAAAAACCUAAAAAUACCUGAAACAUGAAAAAAAAACCAGAAACUCCAAAAAAAAUAA